rnacentral:rRNA from 1 species
GAUGAACGCUGACAGAAUGCUUAACACAUGCAAGUCUUUGGCGAAGCUGUGCUUGCACAGCCUAGCCAAGGCGGACGGGUGAGUAACGCGUAAGGAACUUGCCCUGCAGUCAGGGAUAACAGACGGAAACGACUGAUAAGACCUGGUAAAGUCAGGCGGCCUCAUGUCCAGCCUGAUGAAAAGAGAUGCUGCAGGAGAGCCUUGCGUCCUAUUAGCUUGUUGGUGGGGUAACGGCCCACCAAGGCGAUGAUAGGUAGCCGGCCUGAGAGGGUGGACGGCCACGAGGGGACUGAGAUACGGCCCUUACUCCUACGGGAGGCAGCAGUGGGGAAUAUUGGACAAUGGGGGCAACCCUGAUCCAGCAAUUCUGUGUGCACGAUGAAGGUUUUCGGAUUGUAAAGUGCUUUCAGCAGGGAAGAAAAAAAUGACGGUACCUGCAGAAGAAGCGACGGCUAAAUACGUG